AUCGCUUCUCGGCCUUUUGGCUAAGAUCAAGUGUAGUAUCUGGUUUAGAACAAUUGGGGAGAGUGAAGGAGUGUAACAUGUU
rnacentral:snRNA from 1 species